rnacentral:snoRNA from 1 species
AAACCAUCAAUCAACCAUGUGUUCCACUGAUGUCACCGUAGCUUCUUUCCAAUGGCUCGGUUUGAUAUUCGUUGGUAAUAAUCAUACGAUGCAUGGGAGAAAGAUGGUUUAAGAUGUAUCUCCAGCUAUUGAAAAUGACCGGAAGCCUUUUUCUUUCGGUCGCUCAAAAUCUGAUAUAGUUGGUCAUGAUUCUUGCAACAGAU